rnacentral:rRNA from 1 species
CUCGUAGGUGGCCAACUAAGUCAGACGUGAAAUCCCUCGGCUUAACCGGGGAACUGCGUCUGAUACUGGAUGGCUUGAGGUUGGGAGAGGGAUGCGGAAUUCCAGGUGUAGCGGUGAAAUGCGUAGAUAUCUGGAGGAACACCGGUGGCGAAGGCGGCAUCCUGGACCAAUUCUGACUCUGAGGAGCGAAAGCUAGGGGAGCAAACG